ACCUGAGUCUCCGAUGAGGACGUACGUGAAGUUGUAGAGCGACAUCUCCGGCCCUGACGCCGCCGCUCCUCCUCUCUUCUCCGAGAACUCUCGUGGUGCUCAGGGGCUAGAGUGAGUGCGGCGGACCGUUUGAUGCAGAGAACUGUUCGCCGAUCCACAACCACAAAUCUGCUGGCCUAUUGGAUCAUGCAACUUGCCCUCCCGCGAUCCAUACCGAUUCGGCCCAGUUCUCUCCGGAGCCCACCAAUACGCCUCUCCUCUGUUUCCUCUCGUUGCUAGGUUCCCAUCAGGGAAGAAAUCGCGCCGCCGUCUCCCCCGCGACCGAUCCAGUCCGCCGCCGCCGGCCCCGCUCCCUCUUCCUCUCCUCGACCGAGCUCUAGUCCUCCGCCUCCGGCCCCGCUCCUGCUCUCUCCGGCCUCCGGACGCCGCCCCUGCUCUCGCCGGCCGCCGGACGACGCCCUGCUUCCGCUCCGUCCACCUCGACCUCCUCACCAGCCAGCACCUCAACCGAGCUCGAUGGAUAUUUCAAAUAAAGAACAAGAAGACGAGGAAUUUGAAUCGGUCAUGCUAGCAUUAGCUUUGGAUGUGAUGUUGUCAGAGGAGAGACCGACGUAUGCACAAAGAAAAUUACACCUUUCGCCAGGUCCCGAAGAAAAAGGGACCGUUGGUUUGACAAAAUUACACCUUGUGUCAGGCCUCCAAGAAAAACAGAUCGUCAGCUCAAACAGACAUGAGAUACAUGACAUGAUGGCCAUGCUCAUUGCAGAUGGAGCCAUACCUGGUACUGAUGAGCAUUUCUAUGCUUCACAACUUUUGUUGGAGCAGAAAUAUCGUGAUGUUUUCUCUUCAUUCAAGGGUUUUUCUCCUAGUGUGAGGCUUGGAUGGAUUAAGAGGACAUGGGAGCUCAACAAUUUUUAGAAUCUAAGAUGUUUUAAAUCCUUUAAACCAAACUAUUUGCUAUGUAUCGUGUUAACCUCAUAUGUGCUAUGAUCUUGUACCAUUGUGAACUAAGUUUAUUUGGUAUAUGUUGUAUGAACCAUUUAUGUACUUGUACUAUCGUGUUGUUAGCAUCUUCUGUGCUAUGAACUUGUACUAUUUUCUUGUAA